rnacentral:rRNA from 1 species
UACGGGGGGGGCAAGCGUUGUUCGGAAUUACUGGGCGUAAAGGGCUCGUAGGCGGCCAACUAAGUCAUACGUGAAAUCCCUCGGCUUAACCGGGGAACUGCGUCUGAUACUGGAUGGCUUGAGUUCGGGAGAGGGAUGCGGAAUUCCAGGUGUAGCGGUGAAAUGCGUAGAUAUCUGGAGGAACACCGGUGGCGAAGGCGGCAUCCUGGACCGGCAUUGACGCUGAGGCGCGAAAGCUAGGGGAGCAAACGGG